rnacentral:rRNA from 1 species
CUACGGGUGGCUGCAGUGAGGAAUAUUGCACAAUGGGGGGAACCCUGAUGCAACAACGCCGCGUGGAGGAUGACGCAUUUCGGUGUGUAAACUCCUUUUAUAUGUCAAGAAAAUGACGGUAGCAUAUGAAUAAGCACCGGCUAACUCCGUGCCAGCAGCCGCGGUAAUACGGAGGGUGCAAGCGUUACUCGGAAUCACUGGGCGUAAAGGACGCGUAGGCGGGUUGGAAAGUCAGGUGUGAAAUCCUACAGCUUAACUGUAGAACUGCACUUGAAACUUCUAAUCUAGAGUAUGGGAGGGGGAGAUGGAAUUAGUGGUGUAGGGGUAAAAUCCGUAGAUAUCAUUAGGAAUACCUAAAGCGAAGGCGAUCUCCUGGAACAUUACUGACGCUAAGGCGUGAAAGCGUGGGGAGCAAACAGGAUUAGAUACCCCUGUAGUC